UUUCACUUAGAUUCAUGGGAUCUGGUUCAUGCAGUCUUCUGCUCCCUUGCUUUCUCUCCUCUACCACUCAUCUUAUGAACGUUUUGCAGCCAAAGACUUUUACCCAAAAAUGAGCCUGAAGGGGAAGGAAGACACUAGUCACUUU
rfam:Equus caballus chromosome 4, whole genome shotgun sequence.